rnacentral:snRNA from 1 species
AGCUUUGCACAGUGGCAGUAUCAUAGCCAAUGAGGUUUACCUGAGGCGUGAUGAGUGCUAAUUAAAAUAGUAACUGCUAUAUUCCACUUCUCAACAUUAGAACGCUACACAGGAGG